GCAUAACGCGAAGAACCUUACCGGGGCCUGACAUCUUUCUGACCGCCUGGGAAACCAGGUCUUCUUCCUUCGGGAAGACGGAAAGACAGGUGGUGCAUGGUUGUCGUCAGCUCGUGUCGUGAGAUGUUGGGUUAAGUCCCACAACGAGCGCAACCCUUGUCCUUAUUUGCCAGCCUGUUUACAGGCGUACUUUAAGGAGACUGCCGUAGAUAAUACGGAGGAAGGUGGGGAUGACGUCAAAUCCUCAUGCCCCUUACGUCCCGGGCUACACACGUGCUACAAUGGUCUGUACAGAGGGUAGCCAAGAAGCAAUUCGGAGCCAAUCCCAAAAAGCAGGCCCCAGUUCGGAUUGGAGGCUGCAACUCGCCUCCAUGAAGUCGGAAUCGCUAGUAAUCGCGGAUCAGCACGCCGCGGUGAAUCCGUUCCCGGGUCUUGUACACACC
rnacentral:rRNA from 1 species